rnacentral:rRNA from 1 species
UACGGGGGGGGCAAGCGUUGUUCGGAAUUACUGGGCGUAAAGGGCUCGUAGGCGGCCAACUAAGUCGGAUGUGAAAUCCCCAGGCUUAACCUGGGAACUGCAUCCGAUACUGGAUGGCUUGAAUCCGGGAGAGGGAUGCGGAAUUCCAGGUGUAGCGGUGAAAUGCGUAGAUAUCUGGAGGAACACCGGUGGCGAAGGCGGCAUCCUGGACCGGCAUUGACGCUGAGGAGCGAAAGCCAGGGGAGCAAA